rnacentral:lncRNA from 1 species
AGAUACCAUUUUUCCUUCCAGGGAGCCUUGGGCAGCGCUGGGCAGGGGUGACUGCUUCCUUGAAGAUCUGUGUCAUCAACCAGAGCGACAGGAACCCUCCACCACGUGGCAAAGAUCAAACACGAUGCAUUAAAAGCCAGGACCAAGAAGGGGCCCACAAAGCCCUGCCCUGAACACCUCCUGCUCUUGCUGGUCUUGCAAGUCUACAGCCAGGUGUGGGUGGAGAAGCCAGUGGCCAAUCUAAAGAUGCUGCCACAUGGAUCGUGCAGGACCAGAGAGAGUCCUUGUUGCUCCUGGCGAGAUACAAAGGCUGGUCUUUCACCAGGGCAGCUUGUGCUAGCCUUUCAGCCUGACUCUUGGCCUAAGGGUGCUAAGGCGAGUCCUUGGGUGAGAUUCCUGCUAACAAGACCCCUUCUGUCAGUUGAGGAAAGCAGGCUCCUGCCAGAGAAGAUGACAUGGAACAAGCUGCAUGACAUCUGCCCCAGAGGAAGCCAAGACCAAAAUGAAGGAACAAGGGAAAAAGAGUGAGAAAGCUGGGAACAGAGUAAAGCUGGGCUUGGGGGAACUGAGCUACCUGUAAGACAGAUCUCUGUUAGGGGAAGAGAGACUAAACUACAGCUGAACAGAACAAGGGGCUAGUAAACUUGGAUUUGACUUAGGCUUGAUUAACCCCAAGGAAGUCCAGUUGGCAGGUGGGAUGUUGGGUUAGGGUUACAGUUAGGGUUGGCCUAUUAUUUUGUUUGACUUCCUGCUCCUCUAGCUGGUAGCACUAGCCACAUGCAGCCACUCAUCAGAACAAGCUGGAGCCAAAAGCAAGAGGGAGAAUAUUUAAAUCCAGCCAACAGCUGAUUGGAUGGUCCCAUGAGCAGCAUGGACUGUAUGGAAAAACGGGUCCGAUCAGGGGCUGCCUCAAGCUCCAUAGCAGACCAUCAGAACUACUUCAGUGGAGUCAUUCCUGGUAUCAAAACCCAAGUGACUACCUGUUGGACCAGCAGCCUCAUAUCCUAGCUGAUGGCCAUCCCAGGGGUCACCAAUAUGAGCUUCUGCCCUGAAGUGCCUCUUCCACUGCAAGAAUAUCACACUGGACUGACUACCUUUUGUACAUUAAGUUUAUUACCUAAUAAAUGCUCCUA